GUGACCUGAGCCAAAACCAAGAGUCACAGGCUUAACUGACUUAGCCGCCCAAGUGCCCCAGGAUAUGAAAGCUUCUUAGAAGUCACAUCACUCUAAGUUUCUGAGGAGGAAGUGGACUUAGGUAAAACAAAACAGAGUCCAAGGCCAUCAGCUCAGAAACAGUGAUCUAUACAAAUACCUCCCAAUCAUCUCCUAACAUUCCCAAAAUUUAUGAUUCUAUGAUACCUACCUCUUCCAGGCAAGAACAGAAUGGAAUGAAAGAAUCACAAGGCAAAGAUUAAGUAUGGUCAACUCUUCAUCAACCACUAGGACAUUUUCUGGUACCUCAGAAGAGUUCCUCUGCUUCCUGGCUGAAUGCCCCAUAAUGCAUCUUAAGUCUUCACUCCUGAAGACCAUGAAUGGAAUGGAGUAUGUCUGAGAUUCUCAAAAUGUGGCCUUGUUAUCUGAGACUGUAAUACCUGAUAAUGCUCUAUAGGACAGCCAGCCUCAAUGGGAGACUUUCUAUUCUAACCUUGAUAGGAAGAAGUAAAAAAAAAAAACAACAAAAAAACACAACCAAAAAACCCUGUUUUUCUUCACAGCACUCAGUAUAUCCUCCGAUACUUAUACCCAAAUUUCCUUACAAAGGAAAUCUUCAAGGAAAAAAUAAAAAG